rnacentral:sRNA from 1 species
UCUCGGGUAACUCCCGAGGCCACGUCUGU